AGAAUAUGAGCACAUUUCCUGUGGAGAAGAAUGUGUUUCCGGCCUCUAGCUCCUCCAAAGGCUUCCCGGUGCCUUAUGACCUCCCACCUCAGCAUUACUCAAGCAAAGAUCAACCGUGGAUCUGGAAUAUUCCUUACACUAAAGCCCCAGACACUCAUGGAAAUGUAUGGGUUCCUUCUUGAGAAGUUCGAGGUUCAGGGAUCAUCUGCAUAAGACAGAAUUAACAUAGAAAACAGACCAUCGGCAUUUGACUCUGCUUCGGGUCUGUUUAGGUUAAGCCUUAUGAGGAUCUAACCACCACACUUUAAAGGAAUAGAUCACCCACAUUCACCUUCAUUUCGUUCCAAACCUAUAUGAGUUUCUUUCUCAUGUUGAACUUAGAAGAUAUUUUGAAGAAUGCUGGUAAUCAAGUAGUAGUUGGUCCCCAUUGACCUUCUAUGGAUGUCAGUGGGGACCAACAACUGUUUGGUUCAAAAUUCUUCCAAAUAUCUUAUUUUGUGUUCAACAUAAGAAACUUAUAUAGGCUUGGAACUGAUGACAACAUUUUCAUUUUUGGGUGAAUGGUAGAUGUGCACCAUUAUAGUGUGCACCCUUAAUGCUGUAUUUUAGUCCUUUUUUUCAUAGUAGAAAUUGGUGAUGUUUAGUUAUGCCUAAAUUGUCAACUUUUUGUAAAAACACCAAAUAAAAUGCAUUUUACAACUG